rnacentral:lncRNA from 1 species
AUUCCUCAAGCAGAAAGAGGAGAGGAGGCUCCAAAGGCACUUGACUACUGAGCAUCACCCUGGAAGUGUAUAAGUCCGCGUCCUUACUGUUUUCUUCAUUGGGUCGACCUUUCUGGUCCUCGUCCAACAGCUCUUCUAUCACGUGUUCAAAAGUGUCAGCCAAGGAUGUCAGGCCUCUCGACCCUGCCUUGGGCCCGUUCACGCUCUCCAGAGUCCCAUGGGUCCGCACACCUGGGUAGGCCAAGCUGCCUUGUCCUCGGCCGUUGGCUUCUUUCAUGGGGGCAGCCUUCAUGCAACCGAAGUAUGAAAUAACCAUAGUAAGGAAAAGGAUGGUCAUCACUCUUCUCACCUGGUGGAGCUGCAGGGAAAAAACAGAAACAGGACACAGAGCCGGUUAGCACUUUCUUUCGCAGGGAUGCGCUGCGGCCAUCGGACUGUGAUUCCAGGCCAUUCUGCGGGGGCAAGGAUUUUAUGCACUGGUGAUGAACUCUAGUUGCAUCAGACACACGUUAGCGUCAGUCGUGUGCUCUGUGUGGCGUUUACACCCAAGGUUAGAUGGCUUCUACAUAAGUGCAAAAAACUGUGGCUGCAAGUUCUCCCUUACCAGCUUUGUAAGUUUAAUUUUUAAUGAUCUCUGCUCAGGCUGUCACAAGAAACACAAAAUCAGAAAUGUUACUAGGCAACAACUCCAAGUGUAAUAGUAAUUUUUUUUUCAAGUUAGCAACAUGGUCCUAUUGCGGGAGCUGUGUGACAGGAAGAGCAGUGGCCUGAGGGGUCUGUGGGGGCCUUUCCGGCUGUGUGAUAUCUAGGUAUGAAGAGCACCGUAAAACAGAAGUCGGGGAGCUGUAAGGAGACUUUUACAUGGACUUUUUUUUCCCCUCCCAUAAUCUAUUAGGACAAAGCAUAAAGAUAGUCUCAUCAAGCCAUCCGCAAGGCCACCGAGGACUUGCUUCCCAUCCUGAAGAAAGUUUAUGUCCUGAAGAAAGUUUACAUUAGAACUCGGGGCUCCCAACUUUAGCUUCAAUGUUUUCCUAGUACACCUGGGUGGUCACUACUGAAAAUGUUCUGCUUAUUUCCAAACACAAAUCAUUUUCUACACGUUGAUUUUAAUGGUGUGUCUAUACCUGGGGCUGAUGUCAUGAAAACAAUGUGUCUGCUUAAAAGAGCACUGAAAAAGUCAGCAUUAAAAAGGCAAUGAAGUCAAUGUCAAAUGCCUCCCAUAUGCGGAUCCACGUUUAUCUCCACUAACUCUGAGCCCCUCACCCCUUUGACUUUUCUGGCUCAUGUACAGAGCCAUCCAAGCAAGCUCAGCUUCUCCUUUUAUUAGAAAUGUGGUCCUGUGGGGGCGCCUGGGUGGCGCAGUCGGUUAAGCGUCCGACUUCAGCCAGGUCACGAUCUCGCGGUCCGGGAGUUCGAGCCCCGCGUCAGGCUCUGGGCUGAUGGCUCGGAGCCUGGAGCCUGUUUCCGAUUCUGUGUCUCCCUCUCUCUCUGCCCCUCCCCUGUUCAUGCUGUCUCUCUCUGUCCCAAAAAUAAAUAAACGUUGAAAAAAAAUUUUUUUUUAAAAAGAAAUGUGGUCCUGUGAGUACGUGUAUGUGAGAGAGCUCAGAGUUUAUCAUAACUUUAAAAGGCUGAGUGGCGUCUUGCACAUUGUGGAAUAGGCAGCGAGCACUUCUGUGCUUUUGAAGUUUUCUGGGAAGUCCCUUAACAGCACACCACAAAAUUAAUCUUUUCCUGUUUGCCAGAGGGUUGCUAUACUCUAAAUCUGGCUCUACAUCUAUAAGCAGGCUCUGGGAAGCCAAUUAGAAUGGAAGAACAAACAAAAUGAAAACAUACCUAUAGACCGACCCAAGGUUACCGUCAGAUGGUGAAGGACUUCAGAAUCACUUACCUGAAGCACUGGGUCUCUUAGCAAGAAAGAGAAGCAUCCCUGGGCUCCGACACUCUAACUAUUCCUACUUCUCAGUCCUGGAGCAAGGACUUACAAAAAGACACACAUGUGUCUAACCAGUAGGGAAAAGGACUGUUUUUCUGUCCAUAUGAAGUGUCACUGAACAGGAAGACAACCUACCUCCAGUUAAUAGGUCAUACUUCAGAAAUGGCUAAAAAUUCUGGCAUUGAAAAGCAAAUGUUUCUCUUCUCCACUUUCAUAAGAGAUCACAUUUUCUACCACUAAGGGGCUAUUACCAUCCCCAAACACCCACAAAUUUCUUUGUGGAUUCACUCUCACUAUAUACAAAUAGCAAGCACGCUCAGAGCCGUUUGGAGCGCACAAUGGCCAGAGUCAGAAGCACACACUGGUUUGAAUAAACCACAGAUAUCUAUUCUGCUAACACCUGAACUUUUUGCGAAUGUUCUGGAUUCUGCACCAUCAAAGAAAUGUAUCCUCCAAGGAGGUUUCUAUUCCUGGCAGGCAGUAUUUACACCAUUGAAUGAAAACCUUUUCUCCUGAUGUUCCCAGUCCAAGUUAAAACAACCCAAGGGGCACCUCAAAUGUAGGUCGAUGAAAGAAUGCAAAUAUAGAAUAUUUUACUCCAGUCAUCCGUAUCACUCUGAUAGAGAUUUGCUGUGAUCAGCAAUCUUUUAAUGCCAUAUUUCAUCAAGUCUAAGAUACCAGCAUUAUAAAACACAUCAUUUUACGUACCACUAAGAAAUAAAAAAUGCAGCCAAUUAAACCAUUGCUUUCUUUAUCACUUGGAAAUAUUAUUGUACACUUACUGAAGAGUUCUUUUAGACUUAUUCAGACACAUUUUAUCAUAUACAAUUUUUCUGCAUAUGUAACAAAAGUAAGCAAACUAAAUUGGUUAAGGCGAUGACAACUAUACGAUGACUCCUACAUGGCAACAAUAACAAUACAAUAACAUCAGCUAUAAGACACAACUUCAGAGAUAUUACAAAUAUGAAUGACAAACUGUGAUUCUAGAAUUAAUGAAAUGGAGUAAGUUUCAUAAAUAUUUACUAAAUGCCCACAUGAACCGCUUAAAAUGGCCCAAGGUACUGAGGCAUCUUCAACUACAGAGUUGGGAAAUUGUUUUAUUAUCACUACCACAGAUAAGAGGCUUUUAAUGAUAUACCUUUUUCUAUACUUGGCUUAGAGAAGUUUACCCUGCCUUUCACUGGUCUCCUCUUUAUAUGUUAGUAACUUUUAGGUUCCAAAAGUGGUACUUUAUGUAUCAUUUUAUUAGCAGUUCCAUAAACAAAUAUUUCAGAGGACGAAAUGGUAUCUGAGUAAAUAUAACUUGGCUAUCAUCCUGAAGCCCAAACAGUGGCAUCCCUCAAAGCGGAACAUCUGCACAGAUUCAGUUAAAUUAAGUAUCUGGUGCUAAAGCCCAGCCCCCUUUGCCAGCCCUGACCCCAGUGACACUUCUAGGAUGCUCACUGCCUACUCCCAACGCCUUGUAAGUACAUCCAGCACCAAACUCAAUACCUUUUGUGGAAACAAUAUUACUUCCUAACUUGUCUGUUUCUGACAGUGAUUUCUUAAUACUUUGGACCACCCAGGGUGGAGGCUAGGAAUCUUGGAAUCAAGUUUGACCAUACAUUUUGGGUAUGGUCUUCAAAUCCAAUCAGUGAAGAAGUCCUGCUCAUUUUUCCUUUACAACAUUUCUCCUGUCCAUCCCUUUCCUCCGUCCCGCUGCCGCCAUCUUGGUUCAGCUCUCACCAUCUCAAUGUCCCCCUGAUGCACUUUACGUCCUUUCUGCUCCAUUCAACUAUGAUGAUCACUGCCUGACCAACCACUCACCUUAUCUUUCUCUCUCAAAAACUUGCAAUAGCAUUUUCAUUCCAUUAGAUACCAUCUAACAACUUCUUUUACCUGGUAUCACACCCUUCAAAAUCUGGCCUCACCGUUACUCACCUCUACUCUGAUCAGACCAGAAUCCUUGAAGCUGUAUAUACAUUAUUGCCUGGAAGUGACCUGUUCCAUUCUUCUGGCAAACUUUUUUCUGUCUGAUUAAAUCUCACUUAUCAUCCUUCAUAGCACAGUUCAAGCAUACAUACAUGCCACCUUCUCGAAUGUCCUCCUUCUCUUCUAAAAUUUGCAUCUUAUAGCUCAUUGAGUAUUUUCAUAUCCCUACUUGCUUGUUAACUAACAGUGUUUGCUAACCAUGGUCAGCCUUCAGUUAGAUGAUAGGCUCUCUGAGGGAAUGAAUCAUGUCUGACUACCUCACCCCUGCAAUUAAUGGUCAACAUAGAAUAAUAUAAUAGUUCUCAGUAAAAACUUACUGAUGGACUUACUAAACCAUUAGAAAAGGCAGUAUUAACCUUUGAUGGGAAGGCUUUCCAUUUGGAAAGCACAAGUGAACUCAUUGGAAUUAUUUGGUCAAGUGCAGGCCAUGCUAAACUCAAAUUAAAAGCUCGAAGGGAUCUGAUAAAUGGCAAUUAUCAGUCAUGAAGAAUCUCUUUAGCUUCUCUAACAGGGUAAAGCCUUACUUGACUAAUUUCUAAAAAGAAAAUAACACUAUAUCAUACAAAUUCCUCCUGUCACUUGUGUAGCCCUGUUCCUAACAGAAGACUUAGAAAAGUAGCCAGUGAUAAUAAUAAUCACAGUGAAACUUGGAUUUUUAGUAUUUCAACUGCCUUUUUGGCUGUUAACCUCUUCAAUGAGUAAUUUUAUAUACUAUAUUAGGAAAUCGUAACAAUAAGUAAGAGCUUCCAUGACAAUUCCUAACAUUUUAGCCCUUCGGAUGUGUCUUUAUUACACAAAAGAUAAAGAGGCUGUGUAAUACUCCUAAGUAGAUUGUUAGUCUAUAUAUCUGUUUCUACAUAAUAAAUUCACUGGUGCUGUCUAAUUCUGCUCCAAGGCUCACAACAAUCAGCCCAAUCACAUCUAUAAAAUGCUAGGAAGGAUUGUUUGUAGCCCCAUUCUCAAAAAAUUAAAUAUAGUACACAGGGCUAAAAAGAAAAUUGACAAAAUAGAAGUAAAGUUUAGUUUUAAGUAUGACUCAUGAGUCUUAAACAUUCAACUAGAUGAAUAUCCAUGACAGCAUGCUGUAGUAAUAACUUAACAUUUGUCUGAAAGACGAUAGAGCAUUCACAAGCAUGAUCUAAUUUGAUUGUUACAAGGAGAUAAGAUAGGUAUUAUUAUCCACAUUUCACAGAUGAGACCACUAUGGUUCAGAGAGGUUAACAGGUUACCUCUUCACCCAAGUUUUUACUAUCAGGACGUGCUGCCAGUUUUAGGAUAUUUAACUGCAGGGAGAAGACAGGCUAUGCUACAAAGGGUGGUCAAAGAAGCAGCUUAUACAACACAGCCAUAAUUUUCUGUAGCUGUGUGUAUCCUGGAGCCCAGCUUUCUAAAGGCAGCACCAGUGAGAUACUACUUUGCAGUUCUGGACUAAUCAUGACCUAAAAGUCCCUUCAACUUUAAGGCCUGAUUAUUUCAGUAGAUGAAAUAUCAGACAACAUGGUCUUCCUCUAAAGGAAAGCUAUGCAAAAAUAUAGGCAUGAUAGAAUGAUGUUUCUAUGGCCAAAGUUAAGAAGGAAAACCAAACAGUAAUAUGGGUAAUUCAGGCACAGAGGAGAAAAAAAUGCAAAGUGUUCCCUAUUCCCCAGUCCCUUAGGGUUAUGUCUAUGACAUGUAAUCAAAGAAAAUAGUUUAAAGAUAUGGUUGCUCAUCUUAGUCGUAUAAGCAACAAGGAUGAUGGUAAUGUUGAAGAAAUUAUCAAUUAAUAUUUAAUUCCUAACAUAUAUGAUGCAAACCUAUUAAGAGACCACCUUAAUGCAAUCUUUCAAAUCAAUAUAAAUAAUCUUCAAUUUGUAUCCAGUUUCACUACAUGCAUUUAUUAGCCUUUGUUCAUUCAUCACACAUGGAAUCUACUUUCAAAUCUUAUAGUCUAGGAGAAAAGUAGGAUAUGUAUGUAAGUAACUAAAACAGAAAAGUAGAAACAACCCAGGAAAAGAAAAAAUUCUAUAAAGAGAAAGAGGUUACUUCCAGUUAGAGAAGGAAGUAUGCUUUGUGAAGAGGAAGGCAAAGGAUAGGGAAGAUUUAGACGUGUUCAGAAAAGACACCAAUGGAUGGAUGGAGUCUUGGUUAAAGGCACAGAGUACAUUUCUGGAGAGAAGAGCCCUGGAAAGGAAUAGUGAGAAAGAAGAGUGAGUGACUCUCAGAUUCCAGAAAGCUCUGAGGGUGAUGCUAGAGAGUUCGGACCCUGCCUUAUAGGCAUGAAAGAGCCAGUGAGAGUUUCUGAGCAGGGAAGUGCUUCCAGAAGCCCCGUUUAUCACUAGAUACAGGAGGGCCUAAAAGAACGAUAGACUGGAAGAGACAAUUCAUUGAUUUUCUUAGUGGCCAUUGAGCUUUAAAAAUAAAUACUGAGUAGUUACUUAAGUGUGAGAUUGGGGUUAAGGGCUUGGGUAUAUCUUUUAACUUAAUUCAUUUAUUUCUAUUUUCUAUUUAUUUAUUUUUAGGCUGAAGGGAGUUACAAAAGAAGGGGUUAGAGAGAAGUGUGCAGAAAUGAGUGCUAACCAUGGGGUCAUGUCUGGUUUGGCUGAAAGAACACCAUGGAAGAAGGUGGAGAGAAGGCGGGAAUCGAAACUCAUUCCAAUUAUAAUUACACUGAACUUGGAUUCCACUGCUCAGCACUUUUAAUUCAAAGAUCUCCAAACACUUUGUGAAUGUUAACUAAUUAAGACUCAUAGGACCCUAGAGGUACAGGUAACUAUAAUUAUCCACCUUUCGUACAGGAGGAAAGAGGACCAGAGUUUUUAAUCAACUCAUCCACUCACUGUGGUUCCCCUGAUAGAACAAGGUUAGAACCUCAGAUUCCAAAGGAAAACUAGGCCUUCAACUACAGAAACUAGUUUCUUUCAUCCCUCUGCAUUAUUUUCCCAUUAGGUAUACACUGCUUAGCUGAGAAGAAUUAAAAACAAAUAAACAAACAAACAACAACAAUAAAACUUCACAUUCCUCAAGGAAAAUAAUUGGCAGUUGGAAUCCAUAAAUAAAAUAAGGAUGGGGGCUGGGGCUAAUGAUCAUGACAGAUGCUCACCUACUUGCCUGAAAGACCAAUCAACUGAAACUAAUAAAUAUUUUAGUAAAUGAAAUCUGAUAAUGCAGAUUUUCCUAAGCUUUGAAGGAACUGCCUUAGGUCUUGGGUGGGGGGAGCUCAGUCAGUUAAGCGUCCAACUUUGGCUCAGGUCAUGAUCUUGUGGUUUGUGGGUUCAAGCCCCGCGUCAGGCUCUGUGCUGACAGCUCAGAGUCUGGAGCCUGCUUCGGAUUCUGGUUCUCUUUCUCUCUCUCUGCCCCUCCCCGCUCACACUCUUCUGUCUCUCUAUAUAAAAAAAUAAACAUUAAAAAUUUUUUUAUUAAAAAAAUGUAGGUUUUGGGGCUCCUGGGUGGCUCAGCUGGUUAAAUGUCAGACUCUGAUUUUGGCUCAGGUCAUGAUCUCAUGGUUCAUGGGACUGAACCUGGUGUUAGGCACCAGAGAAAUUGCUGGUUCUUAGAGACCCAGAAAAAUACAAUACAUGUAAUUAUCAUGACAAAAAGUAUAUUCCUCCGAAUUAUUAACUUGAUAGAUAAAUUUAUAUACAUCUUUGAUACAAAGCAAAAUAUCUCUGGUCCUCUAUUAACCUCCUCUAUUCCAUACCCUAUCCUUGAAAAAGCAAACACACUUCUACUGGUCAGAGAUCUCCUUCACCCAGGAGUAAAACUAGACCAUAUUCUCCAUUAGGAAGGAUAGGGAUGGGUAUUCUCCUCCGAAUUACCACAAUUUGUACAAGACCUUGUACCAACUAGGUUCCCACACAUGCUGAAUGACUCUAUUCCCUUUGUGCUGGUAAUAUUUGCAUAGUAUUUAGGGAGGUGAAAUUAAAGUAAGAACAGUAAGUCUUAAAAUGAGCUGGAAUGAAUUUUGGAAUAAGGGAUAGAACAAGGACCAGGUCUGGGCAGAAAACACCCCACUUGCCGUUCCAGUCCCAGGCACAGCUGCCACCACGAUCCAAAGGUUUUUGUUUUUUUGUUUUGUUUUGCUUUUUUAACAUUUAUUCAUCUUUGAGAGAGAGAGAGAGAGAGAGAGGAGCAGAGAGAGAGGGAGACACAGAAUCCGAAGCAGGCUCCAGGCUCUGAGCUGUCAGCACAGAGCCCGAUGCGGGACCCAAACUCACUGGCUGUGAGAUCAUGACCUGAGCCAAAGCCGGAUGCUUAACCGACUGAGACACCCAGGCGCCCACGAUCCAAAGGUUUUUAAGUGCCUCCAACACUGCUGCCCCAAGAAACCUACUGUUCGACUGUAACCAAGGAAGACUCCCUGAAAGCCAGAGCCACCCACAGCUGGCAGUCCAAUCCAUGCCUGCCCUCUUCCUUCACCGCCACAGAGUAAUAUCACCCACACAGUGCACAUCUCUAUAAUAAAGUCUCAAACAUACACAAGCCACUUGCCUAUCAAAUGAAUAGAUGGCCAAAAAUUUUGCUUUUUAAAAUAUGUUUUCAAACUGUUUUUUAAAUUAUAAGAACAAAAUGGCAGGCAACAUUCAAUUAAAAAGCCUAACCUCUUUAAUCCUUCUCCCCUCCCUCCUCCUUUCCUUCCUUCCUUCCUUCCUUCCUUCAAAUGUUCAUUUUGGGGCACCUGGGUGGCUCAGUUGGUUGAGCACUGGACUCUUGAUUUGGCUCAGGUCAUGAUCUCAUGGUUUGUGGGAUCGAGCCCUGCGUGGGGCUUCACACUGAGCAUGGAGCCUGCUUGGGAUCCUGUCUCCCUCUGCCUCCUCCCCUACUCACACUCUCACUCUCUCUCUAAAAAAGAAAUUAAGAAAAAAAAAAUAUGUAUCUUUGGCGGAGGGGCAGAAGAGAGCGAGACAAGAGAAUCUGAAUAGGCCCCACCGCUGUCAGUGAAAGCCUGAGGCAGGGCUUGAACUCACAAACCCUGAGAUCAUGACCUGAGCUGAGGUCGGACACUCAACUGACUGAGCCACCCAAGCGCCCCAGGAUUGUUUUCUUUAGAUUUUCAGGUGAGAUUUGUUUAUAAUAAACUGAAGUUCAGAUUUAACAAUAUUCUAACUAUUAUUUUUUGCUUUUUAAAUUUUUUAUUUUAAUGCCAGUUAGUUAACAUACAGUGUUGUAUUAGUUUCAAGUGUACAACAUAGUAGUUCAACAAUUCCAUACCUCACCCAGUGCUCACCACGACAAGUGCACUCCUUAAUCCCCAUCACUUAUUUAACCCAUCCCCCUACCUCUCUCCCCUCUGGUGACUGUCAGUUUGUUUUCUGUAAUUAAGAGUCUGUUCCUUGAUUUGUCUCUCUCUCCCUUUUUUUUCCCUUUAUUUGUUCUGUUUCUUAAAUUCCACAUGAGUGAAAUCAUAUGCUUUUGUCUUUCUCUGAAUAAUAUUCUUCUAACUAUUAAACUGCGAAAAAUAACACAUUAUCAAAUUCCCAUACAUGGUAGACAGUAAUGUUCAUUAUGAUAUUAUCUAACAGGUUCUGCUAAGUUUCAGUGACCCACUUUGCAAGGAAGGACAUGAAAAAAUUAAACGAAACCUUGCUUCUCAAAGUGAGAUGGAUGGGCCAGUAGCAUUAGCAUCACCAAGGCACUUCAAAGAAAUGAAGAAUCUCAGCUUCCCUUCCUCCAUCCCUUCCACCCUGUUGACUAAAACAGAAUAUGCACAUUGACAAGAUUCAUAUACUUCAAGGCGGUUCAUUAAAGUUGAGAAACACUGGACUCUGAUAAAGAGAGAGGAAGCUACUUAUGAUAAGGAAAUGAAAGGGUUAAAGUCAACUUAAGUAUUGUGGCACAUUCUGAGCAUGCCAUGGGCUUACUCACCAUCUCUCCUCCUUGGCUCAACUUGUUUUAUUGGAACAUUUAUUAUGUAGGAAAAUAUUUUUGCUUUUGUAAUGGUAUUAAAUAAAUCUGGGUUCCCUUCAUGUCAACUUGCUUUUCCACUAUUGUGUUUGUACAAUAAAGCACAGGAUACCUAUAAACAUGAUUGACUGAAUGAGAAUUUAUAUUGUACUACCGAUCUAAAUCUGAACUCCCACUCAAUCACUAAUUUUUAUCUCAAUGCUACAAAGCAAGUACAAGCAUAAUUGGCCUCCCUGAUCACUCACAAAGGCUAACAUCACUCACUCAAUCAGAAUCAAACUGGAAAUGAUACAAACAGCACUAGCAGGUGAUAGAUUUCAACACACAUUAAUAUUCCUUUCAUCCAGGUUUCUGAUGGUGAAACAGAGACAGAGGCAGGGAAAACUGAUUCACUCACUCAAUGAAGAUUUAUUUCUAGGCCUGUCCUAAAGCUAACAGAUCUAGCUAACUCCUACCACCUAACUCCUAAAUAAAUCUCCCCACACACAAAAAAAACAGCAGCAGUGGCAGCAACAACAAAACCUUAAAACAUAUGAUUGUAUCAAGCAUCCAAACCCCUGUUCAACCCUAAUCCAUCUCUACCUCAGUAAGGUACCCAGCAGGCAACUCAAUUUCUCAGUUGGGUUCCAACAAUUGGGAUCAUUUGCCUCAAGACUAAAGGAGCCAAAAUGACCAAAAAGAAAACAAAACAAAACAAAACAAAAAGUUAGCUUUCUAAAGAAAAGUAUAAACAUUUUUUUGAGUUACAAGGACAUCACCAUCAGGGAGUUGAUAGGGUGGUUUCAUAAAUAGAACUGGAGACAGCUUCACUGUUUAGGUUUUUUACAAAGGAUUGCAAAGACAGCUAGUUCCCAAACACCAAGUCACCAAGUCACCAGUACGGACACACAUGACUCAUACUGGGAAUGCUGAUAGUGUUGCUGUUAAAUCAUCUGAUGCUGAGUGGGGCUGAGAUGUCACAGAACCCUCUUUUCCCAGGCAGAAUCCUAAGUAUUAUUGGGUUCCAUCUUGAGCCCCACACAAUACAGAUGUGAACACAGCUGAGGGACAGCCUCCUCCAAAUUACAAACAUGGUGCACCUGCUAACAGGGGAUGUUGUGAAAGCACAGCAGAGCACUGUCUUCUAAGUUCCUGGACCCAGGAAUAAACAUGCCCUGGGCUUAAAGAAAGUGCAAGGGUGAUGUAAUGGUAGUCUUUGUCCCUAAGGGGAGAGCAUGCAGUGGUCAUGCUCUCAAGCCAGAGGAUAAAAGGAAUCCCCUUUUAAGAAAGAAGUGUGCCAGGGACGCCUGGGUGGCUCAGUCAGUUAAGCAUCCGACUUCGGCUCAGGUCAUGAUCUCAUGGUUCGUGGGUUGGAGCCCUGCAUCGGGCUAUGUGCUGACAGCUCAGAGCCUGGAGCCUGCUUCGGAUUCUGUGUCUCCCUCUCUCUCUCCCCCUUCCCAACUCACGCUGUCUCCCUCUGUCUCAAAAAUAAAUAAACAUUAAAAAAAAAAUUUUUUUUAAAGAAAGAAAUGUGCCAUAAUGUGGAAAUUGAGCACAAGCCAGAACAAUUACAAUUAAAAAAAAAAAAGAAAGAGAGAGAGAGAGAAAGAAAGUUAAGACCAGUCUGUUCUAUUUCAGUCUCUUUCCCCAGUAUUGGAAACUUCAAAUCAACAGGUUGCUUGUAAGGUGCUGCUGGACACUUUGUGGAGUUCCUACAAUGAGACGUUAUGGCGAUUUUGACAGCUGUGAGCCAACGCCCACUAGACACACACACACUCGUAAUGGACCCCAGAGCUGUGGUAAAGGCAUGCCCUUCUCAGUUUUUCCACAGAUGGUGCUCCUGAAAUUUUCCACAGCCAAUGUAUUCCUGUGGUUAAUUAGUUAUCUGAGUGAAUUCCAUCACAGAAUAUCUGUUCAUAAUUAGAGCCAUCUUAGGUCCAAACUGGAAGCCUUCAAUGUCAUUACUUCAGAAGGGGUAAAAUGGGAACAGGACAGAUGAGUCUCACCUGAUGAAGAGCCUCUCACUCUAGAUUAGAUCCUAUCCUCUGAGCUACGACAGAGAACAUUAAUUUUUAAAAAGCAAGAGGUGAAAAAUAGGUGGAGGAAGAAACUGGACAGAUAAGGUGCCCCUAGAACAAAAGGAUAGCAUUCCCUUUAAAACCACUAUCAGGAGAUCCUAGGGGAAAGAUGAAAUUAGCAAGAGAACGCCAUUAGCUCUCUGUUGCUCACCUUUAUGAGACCAUUUUCAGGAAUCAGUUUGUUAAAUUCCACUGAAGCGCAAAUGUACACACCGCAGCCCUUCUUCUAGGUUGCUGAGUCAUACCAUACAGAAGUGUGUGGGCAGAUGCCAAAACAUGUGUGGACACGCAGCCCUUUCUGUAGAAACUCAACGUUCCAAGCAUUAACAAGGAUUAACCUUUUGCACACCAGGAGAAAACUGGUGGGUCCACACAUUCAGCUGUCCUUCAGGUUAUUUUUGCAUCUAACUCUACAAUUUCUUUUAAUUACUUAUUGUAAAGCACAAGAAAAUGCUCAUUAUUUGUAGGUUAAUGCAGGAGCAAAAAUUAUUGUGUACGUUCCCCUGCCCACUGCCCUACCCCAGCCCCCAACUCUUCUAAGUGUCCCUGUUCAUUUGAAUUGCACAAGCAAGCCAGUUUCUGGGUCCUGCGCAUAAUGAGCCAUGUGGACCCUAUUCAAGAAACUGGCCAUGUUCCAGAGCUACUAUAAAAUACAAGGAAAAUAUUAACAUCUCAGAUGACAAAAGAUCCAUAUGGCUGGUCAGAAAAUAUCCACAUUGCUUAAGCCAAUAGAGUGUACCUAUAUGGAAACAUUCAAUUCUGUUCCAUGAGCAUCAGGACUGUGAGAACAUCUGUUUGUCUCCAUUCCUUUUCACUAAACAUUGAUUCCAACAGAAUACAUGCAAACUCAGACACCAAUAUAUUUAAUCUAAGCAAGAGGACGAGGGAUGUGUUUUUACAUCGUAUCUAUAAGUAAACACUGGAGCGCCUGGGUGGCUCAGUCGGUUAAGCAUCCUACUUUGGCUCAGGUCAUGAUCUCGAGGUUCAUGAGUUCAAGCCCUGCGUCAGGCUCUGUGCUGAAGGCUCAGAGCCUGGAUCCUGCUUCAGAUUCCGUGUCUCCCUCUCUCUCUGCCCCUACCCUGCUCACAUUCUGUCUCUCCCUCUCUCAAAUAAAUAAAUAAAUAAAUAAAAUCAUAUAUAUUAUAUAUAUAAAUUAUAUAUAUUAUAUAUAUUUAUAAUAUGUAUAAUAUAUAUACAUACAUAUAAUAUAUAUGUACUAUAUAUAUGUAAACACAGUAUUGUAUAUUAUAUGUAUGUAUUAUAUACAUACAUACAUAUCAUAUAUAUAUAUGUACUAUAUAUAUAUGUAAACACAAUAUUGGUGGUACUGGUGCGUAUGGAGAGAGGGAGGGGAUUUUGGAAGAAGCUGUGGGCAGAUGAAUAAGUAAUAUCAAUCUUCUCUUUGUAUAAAAAUGAUUAAAAAUAAUAGCUAACAUUUACGAGCUGCAAGGUAGAUAACUGAGUUAUCCAUAGCUUACAGCUAAGAAAACGGAGUCUCAGAGAAGUUCAAUAAAUUGCCUAAAGCCACAUGCCCAGCAUGUGGUAGAAAUGGAAUGUGAACCAGAACUGGCUUGCAUGCUUCUUUCCAUAUGGGGUCAGAUGUGGAUGUGGUGUCUUAUAUUUUGAGGGAGGUCUAUUUGGCAGAGUUGGCCUGCAGACCUGAAGCAUCAAUUUCUCAUUUAUUUAAGCAAAACCCUCUAUGAUCAUUCCUGAUAAGCAGUUUAUUCACACACUGAUUCCACAAACGUUGACUCUAACUCUAAUGUUUCUUCUUUCCUAUCUCUUUCCCAUAUUGAAUAAUUUCCUCAGGUGUCAACCAUACAUGCAUCAUUUAUAGGGCACAGGGUCAAUACUAUGCACAGAGGUAAUUUGUUUGAAAUGUCAGAACAUUUCCCCCUGAGAAGAUCUCACUGGGCCUGGAACAGAACCACACGCUUUGCAGAUCAGUAACUGCCACUGCCAAACACUCCUGGGUCAACUUCAUUGAGUAAAAAUGAUUUCAAUCAAGACUUAAGUGCCAAUGUGUCUUAAAACAAAAAACAGGGGCGCCUGGUGGCUCAGUUGGUUACGUGUCUGACUCUUGAUUUUGGCUCAGGUCGUGAUCUCAAAGUUGUGGGAUCUGGCCCCGCAUUGGGUUCCAUGCUGAGCAUGGAGCCAGCUUAGGAUUCUCUGUCUCUGUCUCUCUCUCCCUCUCUCUCUCUGCGCUUCUUCCCCUCUCAUGCUCUCUUACUCUCUCUAAAAUAAAAACAAAAAAAACCCCCUUGUGACAUAAAAUCUUUCUUUUUAGUACCCCAACCUAAUCCCCUCAAAGUCUAGAAGCCUCAUUCCUUAGGCCACCCUACUUGUGACUCAUGCCCUGGUCCUCAAGACCAUGAUACUCAAGAACAGAGCUGAGGGUCUGAGAUGGGAGUGAAAAAAAGGUAUGGCAGGACAAUCUCAAAUUUAUUGUCAAGUAGUUCAUACGAGUUAUGGCCAAAAAGACAACAGAACAGAUGGUCCAACAUGGACAGAGCAGCAGCCUCUGAGAGUGUACCCACAAGAGCAAUCAGGUCAAAACGGCCAAAGGAACAAAGGUCAUGGGGUGGAGAACCCACACAAGUUCCUUGCCUCCAAAUAGUGCCCAGGGGCCCUUGGCAUCAACAACAAUGGCAAAGUGGACCCAAGAGCCACACGGAGUUGACAGAAAACAUACGCCUAAGAUG